rnacentral:rRNA from 1 species
ACGGAGGAUCCAAGCGUUAUCCGGAAUUACUGGGCGUAAAGAGUUGCGUAGGUGGCAUAGUAAGCAGACAGUGAAAGCGUGUGGCUCAACCAUACUCACAUUGCCUGAACUGCUAAGCUUGAGUAUAGGAGAGGUAGUUGGAAUUCCCAGUGUAGGAGUGAAAUCCGUAGAUAUUGGGAGGAACACCAAUGGCGUAGGCAGACUACUGGCCUAUUACUGACACUAAGGCACGAAAGCGUGGGGAGCAAACGGGA